rnacentral:rRNA from 1 species
AUUAACGCUAGCGGCAGGCAUGAUACAUGCAAGUUGAACGGCAGCACAGGUAGCAAUACUGGGUGGCGAGUGGCGCACGGGUGCGUAACACGUAUGCAACCUACCCUAUACAGGCGAAUAACCUUUAGAAAUGAGGGCUAAUACGCCGUAGUAUUACAGAUGGGCAUCUAUUUGUAAUUAAAGAUUUAUCGGUAUAGGAUGGGCAUGCGUCCCAUUAGUUAGUUGGUAAGGUAACGGCUUACCAAGACGAUGAUGGGUAGGG